rnacentral:lncRNA from 1 species
GUUCCCACUCCGCCCCGUGCGAGUCCUUUCCCCUGGGGCUGAGACAGAGGACACCAGGCAGUGUUUGAGGAGCCCCCUUCUGUGGAUACCUCCCAGUGGUUAUGUUGGGCGAAAAGAAGGAAAAGGGUUGGGAAGAAGCCAGUCAGCUGUCCAGUGCCCUGAGGCCUGACCCCCUCCAUCCUCAGGCCCUGAGUCCUGACUGCCUCCACCCUGAGGCCCUGAGUCCUGACCAUCCUCCACCCUGAGGCCCUGAGUCCUGACCAUCCUCCACCCUGAGGCCCUGAGCCCUGACCCCCCUUCACCCUGAGGCCCUGGUCCCCGGCCUGGCUGGGCCCCCGAGCAGUGAGCAGGGCAGCAGGGCGGAGUGAGCAGCGCACCUGGAGGAGGGGCCGGAGAACGCGGAGCACACCUGAGCCCAGGCCCACGGUGGAGGAUGUCCCUCUGGGCUCUGCAGUGGGCAAGGCCAGGAGAGCUGGGAGGGACAGGUCUCUCUCUCUCCACCCCCUCAGGAGGUGAAGCCCCAGGGCCAGGCAGAGACAAGCACAAGUGCGGCUGGAGCAGCCUGAGGGUCGCCGUGGCCACAGCAGACAUCAAACCAGGGGACUCCUGC